rnacentral:miRNA from 1 species
CGAGCACGCGGCCACUCUCCC